UUAUGUGAUCGUCUCUCGCAUAUCAAUAAGCGGAGGAAAAGAAACUAACAAGGAUUCCCCUAGUAACGGCGAGUGAAGCGGGAAGAGCUCAAAUUUGAAAUCUUAAAGGGUUUCCCUUUACGAAUUGUAGUUUAAAGAAGUGUUUUCUGUUGAGGUUUUGGUAAAAGUUCUUUGGAAUAGGACAUCAUAGAGGGUGAGAAUCCCGUAUUUGACCUUUACUUUCAACUUUGUGAUACACUUUCAAAGAGUCGGAUUGUUUGGGAAUGCAGUCCAAAAUGGGUGGUAAAUUUCAUCUAAAGCUAAAUAUUGGCGAGAGACCGAUAGCGAACAAGUACCGUGAGGGAAAGAUGAAAAGAACUUUGAAAAGAGAGUUAAACAGUACGUGAAAUUGUCAAAAGGGAAGCGUUUGACACCAGUGUUGUUUUUCUGAAAAUCAAUUAAAGAACUGUUUAUGCUAAGUUGUUUAGACUUUAUCAGCUAACUGUUUAGUUUUGAGCUUUUCUUUAAUGCACUUUUCAGUUAACAAGUCAACAUCAAUUUCUUUUGCUGUAAAAAAGCUUGAGGAAGGUGGCUUGAGAUUCGUCUUAAGUGUUUAUAGCCUCUUGCCUAUGCAGUCGGAGAGAUUGAGGUCUGCAGCGUAGAUCCUUCGGGGCUAAAUGCAUUUGUGCUAAGUUAUAGCAUUUUAUAGACAACUUGUUGACUAUGAUUUGUCUUGUAGCUUACUCGCUUAUGUUAUUUUACCUACGCUUAGGAUGUUGACGCGCGUGUGUGCGUG
rnacentral:rRNA from 1 species